AUACGGAGGAGGCAAGCGUUGUUCGGAAUCAUUGGGCUUAAAGCGCGUGUAGGCGGACCGGUAAGUGUCUUGUGAAAGCCCUCGGCUCAACCGAGGAAUUGCUGGGCAUACUGCCGGUCUUGAGGCAGGUAGGGGCGGGUGGAACUCUAGGUGGAGCGGUGAAAUGCGUAGAUAUCUAGAGGAACGCCGGUGGCGAAAGCGACCCGCUGGGCCUGUUCUGACGCUGAGACGCGAAAGCGUAGGGAGCGAACGGGAUUAGAAACCCCAGUAGUCC
rnacentral:rRNA from 1 species